CUCAACCCAGGAUUUUUUAACGUGCUGUCUAUUGUUUAUCGAUUACAUAACGAUUAUAUAUAGCGGUAUAUCAUUGAUAUUAGUUCUAAGUAUUGGUACGGAAUGAAAACUGAAUCCAUUGUGUCGCAAUGAAAAUUGUAUUAAUCUCUCGAAAGUAGGAAUAUUGUUGAUAUAUAUAUUUUACACUUCUACACGCGCUGACUUUAAGAGUAAAAUAAAAUACUAGUUUGAAGCCAGACUUAAGCUAAUAUGUCAGAGACUUAGGUAGAACUAAAUGUACUGCGGCAACUAUCACAUACAAACCCCAC
rnacentral:lncRNA from 1 species